rnacentral:rRNA from 1 species
AACUUUCAACAACGGAUCUCUUGGUUCCGGCAUCGAUGAAGAACGCAGCGAAAUGCGAUAAUUAAUGUGAAUUGCAGAAUUCAGUGAAUCAUCGAGUCUUUGAACGCACAUUGCGCCCUCUGGUAUUCCGGAGGGCAUGCCUGUCCGAGCGUCAUU